rnacentral:misc_RNA from 1 species
UCUGCAUCGAAAGCAAUCCUUGAGCAUGCACCAUAUCAUAAGUUCUUGGAUACGUAGGAAAUGCUUCACACCAAUCAUGCUGAACACCAAUAAAUCCCCUGUCAAGGAUUAGAGGGAGAUAGUUAGGACCGAUUGUGGGCACUACAUUCAUUACCCACACAGAUUUCCCUGCAUCUAGUAAAGCUGCAUUGAAACCACCAAAUCCAGCAUUCAUGUCCAGUACAUUUCUGAGCAUGUUAGAAGGUGGGACUGGGUCCUCGUCACCAGGUCUUUUUGGAUGAUCUGAAAAUAUCUGAGGUGAGAGAAGAGACCAAUAAUUCCG